rnacentral:rRNA from 1 species
CCUACGGGGAGCAGCAGUCGAGAAUCAUUCACAAUGGGGGAAACCCUGAUGGUGCGACGCCGCGUGGGGGAAUGAAGGUCUUCGGAUUGUAAACCCCUGUCAUGUGGGAGCAAAUUAAAAAGAUAGUACCACACGAGGAAGAGACGGCUAACUCUGUGCCAGCAGCCGCGGUAAUACAGAGGUCUCAAGCGUUGUUCGGAAUCACUGGGCGUAAAGCGUGCGUAGGCUGUUUCGUAAGUCGUGUGUGAAAGGCGCGGGCUCAACCCGCGGACGGCACAUGAUACUGCGAGACUAGAGUAAUGGAGGGGGAACCGGAAUUCUCGGUGUAGCAGUGAAAUGCGUAGAUAUCGAGAGGAACACUCGUGGCGAAGGCGGGUUCCUGGACAUUAACUGACGCUGAGGCACGAAGGCCAGGGGAGCGAAAGGGAUUAGAUACCCUAGUAGUC